UUUUUUUUUAAACCACUUGCUUUGAACUUCUGCGCCAGCGGAAAAAUUGAACAAAGCUACAAGAGAGAAUGCCAGCUUCAGACUUUUCCUGGUCCCCUCACAGACAACCCUUGUGUCAUGGCAUCAAGAGGAAACUCUCAGUGUUUGCACAGAGCACGGAGAGUGAAAUGGAGGAAGAGGUAGUGCUGGUUGAUAUCUUGAGUCUUAUUGCACCACCUGAAAUACUGCUGUCAUUUUUACUCCAUAUUCUAAAACUAGUUGUAGCUGUAGAAUCUAUAUCAGCACCGCUAUUCCAGGAUUGUUUAUUUAACAAAGUUAAUGUAUUAUUGGACUGUAUAUCUUUAUUUUGCUUUGAUCUAAAAAGUUUGAUAUUGAAUUCUUUGGUCCAUCAGAAAGAAAGACAUAAAUGUGAAUCUUUUGUAUUUCUAGUCAACAGACAUUGAGUCAACUUAGUAACUUACGCUAACAUUGGUAGUGCUUGACUUUGACUGUUUGGGUUUUCACUUUUGCAUUUACUUGAUUAUAUUAUUAGCAGGCUGGGGGAGAUGCUGUUUCUAUAAAGAGACGCUGUAUCACUCUUUCCACUGACAUCAGCCAUGACAUGAACAACAUGUUUGAAAUCAACCACAAUGAUGAACAAGCCUAUGAUCUCAACAACUUCAAUGACAACAACAACUCCAACACCCCCAACAGAAACUCUCUUCAUGUUCAUAAUCAGCAGACCAGUCAGCCUCAGCCUCCCGUGCAGCCUGCUAUGCCAAGGUAUAUUACCAGCCAGCUAACUAACGUGUUUGUCCAGCAAACCCAGCUCACUUGUACAGUCAUAUCACACAACCAGCAGCCAUCUCCUCAGGGGGACAUGAUCAUGGACCUGAAUGAUGAGACCUACUCCAACUCUCAGAUAGACAUCUGUAGCCCCCCGGAACCCUCCCAUUCUGCCAUGGACUCGGACUAUGUACCUGACCCCGAGCAGUAUCAGCUCAACAAGUCAACUAACUCAUUUGGUUGCAGGGAUGGUAGCUCUCCCAAUAACUACAGUACAAACAGUCCAGUCAAGAGUUACUGUCGGCCGUACUGGGACAAUCAGGACCUCCGGCCAUACAUAUCGGACUACUACUAGAAUCUCACACACAGUACCGAAUCUCUCACAGAAUGCCCAUCGAUCAAGCCAAAUGCAUCUUGCUACUUAUCAAAAAAGUUUUUAUCUACUUUUAGUAUUUUUUAUUGUAAUUCUUGCAGGUUUUUUGUUGACUUGUUUUGUAUUUUUUUUAAAUUAAAAAAGACAUUAUUUUUUAUCUACCCUGUAAAAUGUAAAUAACACAUUUGUACAUAAAUCAUCAGCCUGAAUAUGAAUGUGUUUUGAGGUGUUCAAUACCAUGUAUAAUUGUGUCCUAAUAAUCUGGAGUAACAUAUAUCAGUGUCGGUCAGGCAGUUGGGUAUAACUUAGGUAGAACUUGAUGUACACCAUGUAUCGGUGUAUUUAUUUGCUGUCUCUGUGUCUCUACAUACAUGUACAAUGUACAUGUACAAUAGUUUAUUAUGAGAAGUAACCCAAAGAUUGUGUUUGUAAAGACAGAUACAUGUACAUGACUUCACUGUACUAUAUUUUACAAUAUGUCUACAUUUUAUUUUGUUGUUGUUUACAAUCUUGUUAAGAAUCUUUUCAUCGUAACUUACAGGUCUGAUUUAAAAUUGUACUGCAAUCAACUUAUUGAACAAGAUGUUUUUAUUUGUACAGACUGUGCAGGGUUUGUUGCUGGACUGUACAGGUACAGGGUAACACCGUGUGCAUGAACUAUAUGUAUGAUAUAAAGGCUAUUUAUAUGUGACAUCUGAAUAGAAAAGGGAAAAAGUUCAGUUUGUACUUGUUAAUUUAGAUAAACUUGCCUUCAUAAUGAUCUGAUCGACAGAUUUUGGUUUACUUUUGUUUUAAUUUGAUUGGUUGUAUAAAAGUAAGUUAUCAUAACUUUUCUACAAUAUUAAUAAAAUGCAAUAUUU
rnacentral:misc_RNA from 1 species